rnacentral:rRNA from 1 species
UACAGAGGUCUCAAGCGUUGUUCGGAUUCAUUGGGCGUAAAGGGCGUGCAGGCGGUUUGUUAAGUCUAGGGUGAAAGCUCCCGGCUCCACUGGGAGAGGUCCUUGGAUACUGGCAGACUUGAGGGGGGUAGAGGAGAGUGGAAUUCCCGGUGUAGUGGUGAUAUGCGUAGAUAUCGGGAGGAACACCAGUGGCGAAGGCGGCUCUCUGGGCCCUACCUGACGCUGAGACGCGAAAGCGUGGGGAGCGAACCGG